rnacentral:rRNA from 1 species
AUUGAACGCUGGCGGCAGGCUUAACACAUGCAAGUCGAACGAGUGGCGGACGGGUGAGUAAUGCUUGGGAAUCUAGCUUAUGGAGGGGGAUAACUACGGGAAACUGUAGCUAAUACCGCGUACCAUAGGAUGAGCCCAAGUGGGAUUAGGUAGUUGGUGAGGUAAAGGCUCACCAAGCCGACGAUCUCUAGCUGGUCUGAGAGGAUGACCAGCAACUCUGGGACUGAGACACGGCCCAGACUCCACCGGGAGGCGGCAGUGGGGAAUAUUGCGCAAUGGGGGCAACCUGACGCAGCCAUGCGGCGGGAAUGUAGAAGGCCUUCGGGUUGUAAGGUUCUUUAGGUAGCAAGGCGUUAACUACAGAGGAAGCAACGGCUAACUCCGUGCCAGCAGCCGCGGUAAUUC